rnacentral:rRNA from 1 species
AGCAAAAGAAACCAACAGGGAUUGCCCCAGUAACGGCGAGUGAAGCGGCAACAGCUCAAAUUUGAAAUCUGGCCCCAGGCCCGAGUUGUAAUUUGCAGAGGAUGCUUUUGGCGCGGUGCCUUCCGAGUUCCCUGGAACGGGACGCCAUAGAGGGUGAGAGCCCCGUACGGUUGGACACCAAGUCUUUGUAAAGCUCCUUCGACGAGUCGAGUAGUUUGGGAAUGCUGCUCAAAAUGGGAGGUAUAUUUCUUCUAAAGCUAAAUAUUGGCCAGAGACCGAUAGCGCACAAGUAGAGUGAUCGAAAGAUGAAAAGCACUUUGAAAAGAGGGUUAAACAGCACGUGAAAUUGUUAAAAGGGAAGCGCUUAUGACCAGACUUGCGCCCGGUGAAUCACCCAGCUCUCGCGGCUGGGGCACUUUGCCGGCUCAGGCCAGCAUCAGCUCGCUGUCGGGGACAAAAGCUUCGGGAACGUAGCUCUCUUCGGGGAGUGUUAUAGCCCGUUGCACAAUACCCUUCGGCGGGCUGAGGUACGCGCUCCGCAAGGAUGCUGGCGUAAUGGUCAUCAGCGAC